GACGAACGCUGGCGGCGUGCUUAACACAUGCAAGUCGAACGAAGAGCGAUGGAAGCUUGCUUCUAUCAAUCUUAGUGGCGAACGGGUGAGUAACGCGUAAUCAACCUGCCCUUCAGAGGGGGACAACAGUUGGAAACGACUGCUAAUACCGCAUACGAUCUAAUCUCGGCAUCGAGGAUAGAUGAAAGGUGGCCUCUACAUGUAAGCUAUCACUGAAGGAGGGGAUUGCGUCUGAUUAGCUAGUUGGAGGGGUAACGGCCCACCAAGGCGAUGAUCAGUAGCCGGUCUGCGAGGAUGAACGGCCACAUUGGGACUGAGACACGGCCCAGACUCCUACGGGAGGCAGCAGUGGGGAAUCUUCCGCAAUGGACGAAAGUCUGACGAAGCAACGCCGCGUGAGUGAUGACGGCCUUCGGGUUGUAAAGCUCUGUUAAUCGGGACGAAAGGCCUUCUUGCGAAUAGUGAGAAGGAUUGACGGUACCGGAAUAGAAAGCCACGGCUAACUACGUG
rnacentral:rRNA from 1 species